CAGUGCAGUACUACUACAGUUUCCAAAAAGGACCAAGAAAGGCACAUUUCUCCAGCAGCAGAAGCCUAAUUAAUUGGUUAACGACCCAUGUUACCAGGCCACUGUCUCUUCCAAAGCCAGCAGCUUCAACCCUGUCUGAACUCUGGAACCAUAUAACCCCAUCACCACACCUCUCUAUUCCCUAGCUUCAUCUCUCUCUCUCUCUCUCUCUCUCUCUCUCUUCAUGCCUUCCCUCUCUGCUUAAUUAAUUCUUCUCCAGCACCCAACGACACGCCACCCAUACACAUUUAGACUCCAUUACAUCAUGAGAGUUUCCAAAAUGGCAUCUGCGAUCACUGUGCUUCUCAUCAUCAUCUGUCUUUCCCUCUCAUUUUUACCUUCCGAAUCAGGUAAUUAAGAGGUGUUUUUGCAGCUGGGUCACUUCUUUCAAGCCAAACCAGACGCAGUGUGGGAUAUCGAUAUGAAGGGGAAAGAAGGAAAAUGACGGUGUUGGGUUCAAGGCCGCCGGCAUGCGUGAACAAGUGCUUGAGCUGCAAGCCCUGCACUGCUGCGCUGGUGGUUCCUCCUUCCCACCAAAGAAAAGGGGGCUUCGGAGCAUCAUCAUCCCAUGGAGGGGAUGAUGGCUAUUAUCUCCUUUCAUGGAAAUGCAAAUGUGGCAACAAGUUCUUCCAACCUUGAUCAUAUAUGUUAGUAAUAAUUAACACUCUCAAUUUUUCCAUAUAGACAUUAAUUCCUUCUCUCUCUCUCUCUCUCUCUCUCUCUCUCUCUCUCUCUCUCUCUCUCCUCAUUGUGUGUUGUGUGAAAGAUAACAUAUUUUAAGAUGUCAAUGAUAUUCAUAUGUGCAGUAA